rnacentral:rRNA from 1 species
GACGAACGCUGGCGGCGUGCUUAACACAUGCAAGUCGAACGGAAAGGCCCUGCUUUUGUGGGGUGCUCGAGUGGCGAACGGGUGAGUAACACGUGAGUAACCUGCCCUUGACUUUGGGAUAACUUCAGGAAACUGGGGCUAAUACCGGAUAGGAGCUCCUGCUGCAUGGUGGGGGUUGGAAAGUUUCGGCGGUUGGGGAUGGACUCGCGGCUUAUCAGCUUGUUGGUGGGGUAGUGGCUUACCAAGGCUUUGACGGGUAGCCGGCCUGAGAGGGUGACCGGCCACAUUGGGACUGAGAUACGGCGCAGACUCCUACGGGCGGCAGCAGUGGGGAAUAUUGCACAAUGGGCGGAAGCCUGAUGCAGCAGCGCCGCGUGCGGGAUGCCGGCCUUCGGGUUGAAAACCGCUGUCGACUGUGACGAAGCGUGAGUGACGGUAAUGGGUAAAGAAGCACCGGCUAACUACGUG